CUCGUGUCACCAGCCCAGCGCCAGCGAGCCCGACAAAUGACUGUUUGCAGCUGUCAUUAGGUGAAAACAAGGAGAAUCUGCAUAUGCUUAGUUUUAAUUAGGCAGCUUGGCAAGGAGCCCUCGCUCGCUGCUACCAAACAGCCAUUGCACUCACAGACGGGUGGCAGCAGCCUCGGAGUGCACACAGACACACAGACAGACAGACAGACACAGACAGAUACACACACACACACAGUGCACACACACACACACACACACACACACACACACACAGUGCACACAGACAGACAGACACACAGACAGACAGAUACACACACACACACACACAGACACACACACAGACACACACACAGACACACACACGCACACAGUGCACAGAGACAGACACACAGACAGAUACACACACACACACACAGACACACAGACACACACACAGUGCACACAGACAGACAGACACACAGACAGACAGAUACACACACACACACACACACAGACAGACAGACAGAUAUACACACACACACAGGAUUUACCUUUCAGGAUGCUCGAGGUGCCGGCUCACCCCCAGAACCAGGAUCAGUGUCCCUGUUUUACCAUUUCUGCGCUGCUCAGCCCUCAGGAUGGCCCCUCUGCAUGGUGACACUUUCUGCCAGCAGGAAAUGCUUCCCCACACAGCAUUUCCACACCAAACCCUGGGUAAAUCCCAUGCUCGAGGGCUGUCACUGCUCAAUCCCGUGGUCACAGGGAUAUUGUGACACCCACUGCCCCCCAGAGCUGGCUCUGACAGCUGAACAACCCCUCCACUGCCACCUCUUUGUUAAAAUUACAUCUUAAAAUUGUCCAGCUAAUGAUUUCCAUUUUCUCUCUCCUGUCACUGCUCAGAUCCUGCCCGUCCUGCCCCUUCUGAGCCCCGUGUACCACAGAGGGGUCAGGGCUGUCAGGUGUCACUCCCAUAUCCAACACUGAACAAACAUUUCUGUUUACAACAUCAACACCUGGUGAGCAGCACUGGCAGAGAAAAUGCAAAUUCCAGGCAGUUUAACCCUGUGUGCAAACGUGUGCUGG
rnacentral:lncRNA from 1 species